UGGGGAAUUUUGGACAAUGGGCGAAAGCCUGAUCCAGCAAUGCCGCGUGUGUGAAGAAGGCCUUCGGGUUGUAAAGCACUUUUGUCCGGAAAGAAAUCCUUGGCUCUAAUACAGUCGGGGGAUGACGGUACCGGAAGAAUAAGCACCGGCUAACUACGUGCCAGCAGCCGCGGUAAUACGUAGGGUGCAAGCGUUAAUCGGAAUUACUGGGCGUAAAGCGUGCGCAGGCGGUUUGCUAAGACCGAUGUGAAAUCCCCGGGCUCAACCUGGGAACUGCAUUGGUGACUGGCAGGCUAGAGUAUGGCAGAGGGGGGUAGAAUUCCACGUGUAGCAGUGAAAUGCGUAGAGAUGUGGAGGAAUACCGAUGGCGAAGGCAGCCCCCUGGGCCAAUACUGACGCUCAUGCACGAAAGCGUGGGGAGCAAACAGGAUUAGAUACCCUGGUAGUCCACGCCCUAAAACGAUGUCAACUAGUUGUUGGGGAUUCAUUUCCUUAGUAACGUAGCUAACGCGUGAAGUUGACCGCCUGGGGAGUACGGUCGCAAGAUUAAAACUUAAAUGAAUUGACGGGGUC
rnacentral:rRNA from 1 species